GAUGAACGCUAGCGGCAGGCUUAAUACAUGCAAGUCGAGGGUUAUAGAGGUGCUUGCACUUCUAGAGACCGGCAAACGGGUGCGGAACACGUACACAACCUUCCUUUUAGUGGGGGAUAGCCCAGGGAAACUUGGACUAAUACCCCGUAAUAUGUUGAUGAGGCAUCUCAUUGAUAUUAUAGUGGCUACACGCUAGAAGACGGGUGUGCGUAUGAUUAGGUAGUUGGCAGGGUAACGGCCUACCAAGCCUACGAUCAUUAACUGGUGUGAGAGCACGACCAGUCACACGGGCACUGAGACACGGGCCCGACUCCUACGGGAGGCAGCAGUAAGGAAUAUUGGUCAAUGGAGGAAACUCUGAACCAGCCAUACCGCGUGGAGGAUGAAGGCCCUCUGGGUUGUAAACUUCUUUUAUAUGGGACGAAAAAGGGUCUUUCUAGAUCAACUGACGGUACCAUACGAAUAAGCACCGGCUAACUCCGUGCCAGCAGCCGCCGUAAUAC
rnacentral:rRNA from 1 species